ACCUAAGAGAGAGGGAGAGAUCCUGGUGGACUUCAAAGAGGGACGGCAGUGGAGGCGGAGGUGGAGCGAUGACGACGAUGGCAGAGGCAGAGCGAUGACGACUAUGGCGGCCCUAGGGGAAGCAAAAAUUGUAAGAGAUGGAGAGGGAGAGAGAGAGAGAAAGUGAGGGAGGGAGAGGGAGAAAUCGAGGAGGGAGGAUGACGAUCGGUGCGACGGCAUGGAGGGAGGAUGACGAUCGAAGAGGGCUUCAAUCGGUCGAUCGGUGACAUGGAGAGAUGAUGCCGAUCGGAGGACGGCUUCAAUCAGUCGAUCGGUGGUGCGCUCGACAGCGUGAGAGAGCGAGAGAGGCUGGUCGG
rnacentral:lncRNA from 1 species